UAAUUUGGAGGAUAGUGGGGAAAGUGUAGAUCACCUACUGAAAGACCCCCGAAGGGAGACCCUCACUCAAGCCUCGGGACAGCCGCGGACCCAAGAAGACACUGAGACCG
rnacentral:pre_miRNA from 7 species